AUGAUGAUGGUGGACACGGUCAGCGCCAGCACCUCCUUCAUCGCGCGCCACCCCUUCGACCACCACCGGCCCCGCCGGACGCUGCUCCACGUCGUCAGCUGCCGCCCCCUCCGCACGCCCUUCGCGGGCCGCCGUCUCGUGGCCCGGGUGCCCAGGCCGGAGCGGCAGCGGCUCGCGGACUGGCCCGUCAGGGCGCUGGCAGCCGUCGGGUUCACCAAGGAGGCCGUCCCGCGGAAGGAGUUCCGGGGGAUCCCCGGGGACGGCGACAACGGAUUAAGGACCGACGACGACGCCCCCCCAGCGGCGACGCCGUCCUGGCCACCGCGGAACAGGGCGGACGACCCCAGCCUGCACAACCCGCUGCUGCGUCUCGAGCGGAUGGGCUGUGGCUGGGUCGGCGUCAUCUUCGAGUGGGAGGGCGUGGUGGUGGAGGACGACACGCGGUUGGAGCGGCAGGCGUGGCUGACCCUUGCCGAGGAGGAGAGCAAGUCGCCGCCGCCCGCGUUCGUCCUCCGGCGGGUCGAGGGGAUGAAGGCAGAGCACGCCGUCUCCGAGGUGCUCUGCUGGUCCCGGGACCCCUCUGAGCUGCGGCGCCUGGCGGCCCGCAAGGAGGAGAUCCAUGGCGGGCUCCGCGGCGCCGCCAGCCAGAUGCGGGACGGGUCGAGGGAGUUCAUGAGCACGCUGGUCAACUACAAGAUCCCCCUCGCCGUCGCCUCCACGAGGCCCCGCAAGGCCGUGGAGGCGGCCAUCGAGGCCGUCGGCGCGCGUGGGUUCUUCGACGCCGUGGUGGCGGCGGAGGACGUGUACCGGGGCAAGCCCGACCCGGAGCUGUUCCUCUACGCCGCGCAGCUGCUGGGCUUCAUCCCCGAGCGCUGCGUCGUGUUCGGCAACUCCAACUCUGCCGUGGAGGCCGCGCACGACGCCCGCAUGAAGUGCGUGGCCGUCGCAAGCAAGCACCCCGUCUACGAGCUCGGAGCCGCCGACCUUGUUGUGAAGCGGCUCGAUGAGCUCUCCAUUGUUGACCUCAAGAACCUCGCCGACAUCGACUCCCCUGAGUUUGGCAUGGAGCCUGAGCCGGAGAUGGAGGAGGAGGAGGACGAGGCGCCACCGUCGACCGCCGUGGGUGUCGACGAUAUAUUCUUGUAG
rnacentral:rRNA from 1 species